rnacentral:rRNA from 1 species
GAUGAACGCUAGCGACAGGCUUAACACAUGCAAGGUCGAGGGGCAGCGAGGGCGUAGCAAUACGCCUGUCGGCGACCGGCGCACUGGUGAGUAACACGUAUGCGACCUGCCCCCUACAGGGGUAUAACCCGUAGAAAUGCGGACUAAUCCCCCAUAGUCCUGGGUGCUGCAUGGCAUUCAGGGGAAAGGCCAGCCGGUAGGGGAUGGGCAUGCGGCGCAUUAGCUAGUUGGCGGGGCAACGGCCCACCAAGGCGACGAUGCGUAGGGGUUCUGAGAGGAAGGUCCCCCACACUGGUACUGAGACACGGACCAGACUCCUACGGGAGGCAGCAGUGAGGAAUAUUGGUCAAUGGGCGCAGGCCUGAACCAGCCAAGUCGCGUGAGGGAAGACGGUCCUACGGAUUGUAAACCUCUUUUGUCGGGGAGUAACGUGCGGGACGGGUCCCGUAUUGAGAGUACCCGAAGAAAAAGCAUCGGCUAACUCCGUG